CAAAAAAUAGUUUAAUUAAAAAUACUAGUUUUGGGGGCUAGGGUUAAGAGUUGCUCUUUUUUUUGA
rnacentral:tRNA from 1 species